UACGAAGGGAGCUAGCGUUGUUCGGAAUCACUGGGCGUAAAGCGCACGUAGGCGGAUGUGUCAGUCAGGGGUGGAAUCCCGGAGCUCAACUUCGGAACUGCCUUUGAUACAGCACAUCUGGAGUCCGGAAGAGGUGGGUGGAAUUCCUAGUGUAGAGGUGAAAUUCGUAGAUAUUAGGAAGAACACCGGUGGCGAAGGCGGCCCACUGGUCCGGUACUGACGCUGAGGUGCGAAAGCGUGGGGAGCGAACAGG
rnacentral:rRNA from 1 species